rnacentral:rRNA from 1 species
CCAAUAGCGUAUAUUAAAGUUGUUGCAGUUAAAAAGCUCGUAGUUGAAUUUCGGAAUCUGUCCGUUGGUCGGGCUUAACUGUCCGUACUGAUGUGAUGGGUUCUUACCUUCUGAAUAACCAUCAUGCCAUUAAUUUGGUGUGUUGGGGAAGCAGGACUAUUGCCUUGAAAAAAUUAGGGUGCUCAAAGCAGGCUAGCGCCUGAAUACAUUAGCAUGGAAUAAUAAAAUAGGACGGCAUGGUUCUAUUUUGUUGGUUUCUAGGAUCACCGUAAUGAUUAAUAGGGAUAGUUGGGGGCAUUAGUAUUCAAUUGUCAGAGGUGAAAUUCUUGGUUUUAUUGAAGACUAACUUCUGCGAAAGCAUUUGCCAAGGAUGUUUUCAUUAAUCAAGAACGAAAGUUAGGGGAUCGAAGACGAUCAGAUACCGUCGUAGUCUUAACCAUAAACUAUGCCGACUAGGGAUCGGAUGAUGUUAAUUUUUUAAUGACUCAUUCGGCGCCUUACG